UGAGUGGAAGAAAGAGGUGCGUCAAGUGUCUCUCCAGCACUCCCCUGCAAGGCCAGUCUACACGGACAUACAGUCCAGUGGGAACUGUAGGCUUUGGCAGCACAAUUUACACUGGCAGAGUGCUGCAUUACAGCAGAGGCAGGCUGAAACAGGUCUCAAGGUAGCCAAGAGUGAGCGUGGUUUCCAGAAAGGGAACUUGCUUCCUAGUAUUUUCAGUUGUUGCAAAUGAUUUGUGACUCAUCCGUUCUCACCAUGUCAUCAGUGUCACUAACUAUGCUAAAAGCAUUUCUGAUUCAUAGUAACAUAACAGUAUCCUGUUUGAUCAUCACAGCAACUCCCCUUCAAACCAUUGCCAUGUUCCAGAAGGAGAGGGCCAUUGAAUCUGAGUCUUCCCACUUCAAUUUCCUCCUCCUCUUAGACUACAAGAUCAAAUAAGGAAAGCUGUCUUUUCCUUCAAGCCUGCCCUAAACGCUUUUAUCCUCAAACUUCGAAUUUACCACCUGAAGCCUUCAUAUCUAUUCUCUGGAAAUGUCUAAAAUGAGCCUGUGGGAGCAGUUAAUAUAAAAAUAUCACUAAAACAUUUAAUAUCUAUGUCAAUGAUGAGAAAAAUAGAAUUUGAAAGUCUCCCAAAAGGUUAAGCCUGAACAAACGCUGGGGUGUUUUUCAGUUUCAAAAUAAUCUGAAGCGGUUUGGGACAUCCUUGCAGACCGCAUUUUAGAAGAAGCCCUAAGACAUUUGUGCACUGACAAGCCAGCUGGAGAGCCAGAGACUUCAGCAGCAAGAGCGGCAGUCGCCUUGUGCUAGGGGUCUAGGACCCCUAGGGCUUGAGCUUCACAAAAGCACCCGGAAAUCUGUGAGACCGGAGCUGGGGAAACUCAUUGGUUUAAAAUAUGACCAAAUAACUCCAAGAUGGAAAUUAUGAAUAAUUUCAAAACCACAUUUAAAAACCCAUCUUUUUUUGUAGCAGUAAAAUCAUACUUAAGAGGA